rnacentral:snRNA from 1 species
GCUUCGGCGCAAGUGAAAUAC